AAAAAUUUAGUUAAUUUAUAAUAUCAAUUUGUCAAAUUGGGGUAGAAUUAUUUCAGUUUUUU
rnacentral:tRNA from 1 species